CAUUCUUCGGUUUCGAAAUCGACAUGGACAUCCAAUAUUAGCUCCGAAGAUAUGCUGACCGAAGUUCUGUCGUAUUAUACGCAACCAUCAAUACCGGAGAAGACGCAGCGUAUCUGGUCAUCCCAAGAGCCUACUUAUCGUGUCUCUAUAAAUACACAGCCACAUUCAAGCAUCCUCCCUUUCAUUAUGCAACCUGUGACUGAAUAUCGGAAGACACCUGCCAACAUGAAGAAAACCACUACUGUUGCUAACUGUUCAGAAAGUUUGGCGACUCUUGAAGAAAUAUUACACCAUGGUCGAGAAAAUAAGAAACACACGAAUGCUGAGUUCAAUUGUCGUGUGGUGAUUAAAGGCGUACGUAAUAGCGAAGAGUGGUUCAGACUUAUGUGUGGAGGAGGAAAAUGCAUGAAAUGUGUAUCGCGUGAUCACGGGGAGCUGUGGUGUGUUGGCUGUGAAAACCCAGUUAUGUUUCCCCAAGCAAGAUAACCCAUAAAGUAAAAAUGAAAAAGAUAACCCAUAAAGUUUUAUAACUAGCAUUGUAAUAAUAUACUGUUCCAACAUUAUAAAAUAAUAUUUUUAUUGUAAAAUUGAAAGAAAAGACAAACCUGGGCUCUCACGAAACUGCAGAGUGCAAAGGUGGAAAAUUGACCAGUAUAUAGACCAUUUUCGUCCGAAUGACCAACAUUAAUUUGGACUGAAGCAUGAUCCUUUGAAGUGAUCAGCCUAUUGGUGGCCGAACUGCAAAAUAGAAACGAUCGACACCAUUGGUUUUGAUAUGUGCUUUUUCGAUUUGAGAACGCAUACGAACCCAUCGCUUUAGUGUUGAAAUGCAUUGUAAUGGAACUUACCCGCGGCAAGUCGGCAGGUUACCUUUCUUUAUGUCGAUUAUGAUGAAAUUUGUAGUGAAUUUGUUUAUGCUUCUUUGUUCGUUUGGAUAUUUAAGUUAAAUCAUUAGUUUAUGCUUUUUUCCCCUAUUUAUACAUGCCAAAUAGCUAAAUGGAAUGAAUUGAACUUCAACGAGCUUGAACUGCAGUUCAUAAAUGGGAAUUUACUUGAACGGAGUUACAUUCUAUCAACUUUUUAGUACAAAAUAAUGGAAUAUGAACUACUAAUAUAUACAUCAUCCAGGUUAAAGUUCUGCCUAACAUUUCCUUUCUUUCUUUCACAGCCCUACUUAUGAAGGUUCUGAUUCAGAUGGUUCUGUGGGUAGCGCUCCAGGUGAAAGCCCUACUUAUGAAGGUUCUUAUUCAGAUGGUUCUGUGGGUAGCGCUCCAGGUGAAAGACAAGAAACUACUAAGGGGAACGUCGACUACAUGGCCAUGCAUUAGCGGCAAAAGAUUUCGUGAAUUAUUGAAUAAAACCGGAAGCUUUAUGAACUCCUUUAAGUUUUUUUCCUGUAAUGUAUGUUUUUAGACUUGGCAUACAUGUUUGUUCUUAAACAGAUUCCGCAAACAAAGUUUCCUGUGCUAUGCACGCCUUAAAUUUUG